AACUGGGCAGAGGGAUCCUCUUCUCACUGAUGAUGUGAAAUCUCUGAUGACACUGGAGCUGAAUAGCACAGAAUAUAGUGAGCAUAUGGGAGAGGAUGCUGGAAAGCAACCUGAAAUAACUAAGCCUGAGUUCAGGAGGUCACUGAUGAAUGUAUUGAACAUAACUGGUCCCAGUACUGGCCCCAGUGGGACCCCACUAGUCCCAGGCCUCCAACUAGACUCCAUCCCACUGACCACAACUCUCUGGCUCUUUCCUUCAACCAGUUCCCAAUCUACCUCACUACCUGAUCAUCAUACCAGAGGCCUAGUGUGUUCCUAGGCUGUUAUCAGAAUGAUUCCUGUGGAUGGAUUUCUUGCUAACAGGGGACAUGAAUUGAUAACCAUGAGCAAGCUGUGCUGCGGAGUGCCCUUGAGCCCAUCCCGCAGGCAGGAACUGAGGCGGUGAAGCAAACCCCCACGUCCAGCUGCAGGAGGCAGGGUCUGCUGGCCACAGGGGGCUGACCCUACAGGUUGUUUAUAUAAGCUCAACCUAUCUGCACCUCACACAUAGCCUUAAGCCUACCUGUAGCUUCCACAUGUACCAAUCUUGACUAAGCUAGCUCUGCACAGCUUCCCUAAGUUAGCAUAUAGGUCGCUGUAUCACUGCAGUAAACUGCAGAACAGCAACUUAACCAUACUGCUGUCACAAUUGUUACUCUGGGUGCAGUGCUGGCAGACUACCAUUGGGAGCUGUACUACUUCAAGAGAAACGUUCCACAUUCUCUCCAAAAAGCAGUAAGAAAUGAAAAGAAGACACAGCCUUCCUCUGCCUCCUACUUUUGACCAAAAUUCUGUAGAACUAUUACUACGUACAUUAUGGUUUUAUAUUCCAGUAGUUACUCACAGUGAGUAACAACAGAAAUGAGUCAUUGUAGGAUUCCUGUAACAACAGAAAUGAGUCAUUGCAGGAUUCCUAUAACAACAGAAAUGAGUCAUUGCAGGA